CGGCAAUGGGGGCAACCCUGACCGAGCAACGCCGCGUGAGUGAAGAAGGUUUUCGGAUCGUAAAGCUCUGUUGUAAGUUAAGAACGAGUGUGAGAGUGGAAAGUUCACACUGUGACGGUAGCUUACCAGAAAGGGACGGCUAACUACGUGCCAGCAGCCGCGGUAAUACGUAGGUCCCGAGCGUUGUCCGGAUUUAUUGGGUGUAAAGCGAGCGCAGGCGGUUUGAUAAGUCUGAAGUUAAAGGCUGUGGCUCAACCAUAGUUCGCUUUGGAAACUGUCAAACUUGAGUGCAGAAGGGGAGAGUGGAAUUCCAUGUGUAGCGGUGAAAUGCGUAGAUAUAUGGAGGAACACCGGUGGCGAAAGCGGCUCUCUGGUCUGUAACUGACGCUGAGGCUCGAAAGCGUGGGGAGCGAACAGGAUUAGAUACCCUGGUAGUCCACGCCGUAAACGAUGAGUGCUAGGUGUUGGAUCCUUUCCGGGAUUCAGUGCCGCAGCUAACGCAUUAAGCACUCCGCCUGGGGAGUACGACCGCAAGGUUGAAACUCAAAGGAAUUGACGGGGGCCCGCACAAGCGGUGGAGCAUGUGGUUUAAUUCGAAGCAACGCGAAGAACCUUACCAGGUCUUGACAUCCCGAUGCUAUUUCUAGAGAUAGAAAGUUACUUCGGUACAUCGGUGACAGGUG
rnacentral:rRNA from 1 species